AAAAGGAGAAAUCCGGUAUAGGAUGGGCUCGCGGCGCAUUAGCUAGUUGGUGAGGUAACGGCUCACCAAGGCGACGAUGCGUAGCCGACCUGAGAGGGUGGACGGCCACACUGGGACUGAGAUACGGCCCAGACUCCUACGGGAGGCAGCAGUGGGGAAUAUUGGGCAAUGGGCGCAAGCCUUACCCAGCAAUACCGCGUGAGUGAAGAAGGUCUUCGGAUUGUAAAGCUCUUUGAUCAGGGACGAACAGAGACGGUACCUGAAGAACAAGCCCCGGCUAACUACGUGCCAGCAGCCGCGGUAAAACGUAGGGGGCGAGCGUUGUCCGGAAUGACUGGGCGUAAAGGGUGCGUAGGCGGCAUAAUAAGUUAGAAGUGAAAUACCCAGAGCUUAACUCGGGUGCUGCUUCUAAGACUGUUGAGCUUGAGUGCGGGAGAGGUUAAUGGAAUUCCUAGUGUAGCGGUGGAAUGCGUAGAUAUUAGGAGGAACACCAGAGGCGAAGGCGAUUAACUGGACCGUAACUGACGCUGAGGCACGAAAGUGUGGGUAGCAAACAGGAUUAGAUACCCUGGUAGUCCACACUGUAAACGAUGGAUACUAGAGGCAGGAGGUAUCGACUCCUUCU
rnacentral:rRNA from 1 species